UGUUAAUUUUCCAUCCAUUCAGGAUCCUAUUUAACUAUAUUGGAUUCAUCCUCCUUCCCUAACACCAAAUAAAUUGCUGCGUCUUUUCACUAUAUCAUCUGUGUAUGUUGCUGUACCUAAAAAUAAAUUACUUGCUUAAAAGAAUUGAAAUGAAAUGAAAAUAAUUCAUGUCGUUUGUACUAAUGGAAAAUUGAAGUUUGGGCUGCUACAAGAAUUCUUUUAUGACAUUUGUCUGCAAAUGUCACUGCAGUAUCAAAGCACGCAGGUUGAGGAAGUUACUCGUUUACCCUGGAAUUUAUAGAACAUCAAUUAGUUGUUCCUUCGGGCUCUCUAGAGGGCACGACUGAAUGAUAGUUAUCACUUAAGGGAAAUCACCAUUCUCAAUGUAUCCUAAUGUGGUUGGUUUAGAA